AUUGAACGCUGGCGGCAUGCCUUACACAUGCAAGUCGAACGGUAACGCGGGGCAACCUGGCGACGAGUGGCGAACGGGUGAGUAAAGCAUCGGAACGUGCCCAGUAGUGGGGGAUAGCCCGGCGAAAGCCGGAUUAAUACCGCAUACGACCUAUGGGUGAAAGGGGGGGAUCGCAAGACCUCUCGCUAUUGGAGCGGCCGAUGUCAGAUUAGGUAGUUGGUGGGGUAAAGGCCUACCAAGCCGACGAUCUGUAGCUGGUCUGAGAGGACGUCCAGCCACACUGGGACGGAGACACGGCCCAGACUCCUACGGGAGGCAGCAGUGGGGAAUUUUGGACAAUGGGCGCAAGCCUGAUCCAGCCAUGCCGCGUGCGGGAAGAAGGCCUUCGGGUUGUAAACCGCUUUUGUCAGGGAAGAAAUCCUUUGGGUUAAUACCUCGGGGGGAUGACGGUACCUGAAGAAUAAGCACCGGCUAACUACGUGCCAGCCGCCGCCGUAA
rnacentral:rRNA from 1 species